GACGAACGCUGGCGGCGUGCUUAACACAUGCGAGUCGAACGGAAAGGCCCUGCUUUUGUGGGGUGCUCGAGUGGCGAACGGGUGAGUAACACGUGAGUAACCUGCCCUUGACUUUGGGAUAACUUCAGGAAACUGGGGCUAAUACCGGAUAGGAGCUCCUGCUGCAUGGUGGGGGUUGGAAAGUUUCGGCGGUUGGGGAUGGACUCGCGGCUUAUCAGCUUGUUGGUGGGGUAGUGGCUUACCAAGGCUUUGACGGGUAGCCGGCCUGAGAGGGUGACCGGCCACAUUGGGACUGAGAUACGGCCCAGACUCCUACGGGAGGCAGCAGUGGGGAAUAUUGCACAAUGGGCGGAAGCCUGAAGCAGCAACGCCGCGUGCGGGAUGACGGCCUUCGGGUUGUAAACCGCUUUCGCCUGUGACGAAGCGUGAGUGACGGUAAUGGGUAAAGAAGCACCGGCUAACUACGUG
rnacentral:rRNA from 1 species